rnacentral:sRNA from 1 species
UCUGUAUUUUUUGGUGAUCUUCGAAAGAU